AAAACGACUCUCGGCAACGGAUAUCUCGGCUCUCGCAUCGAUGAAGAACGUAGCGAAAUGCGACACUUGGUGUGAAUUGCAGAAUCCCGUGAACCAUCGAGUCUUUGAACGCAAGUUGCGCCCCAAGCCGUUAGGCCGAGGGCACGCCUGCCUGGGUGUCACGC
rnacentral:rRNA from 1 species